rnacentral:rRNA from 1 species
UACGGUAGGGGCAAGCGUUGUCCGGAUUUAUUGGGCGUAAAGAGCGUGUAGGCGGUUUGGUAGGUCCGUUGUGAAAACUCGAGGCUCAACCUCGAGACGCCGAUGAACCAUCAGACUAGAGUCCGGAAGAGGAGAGUGGAAUUCCGUGGUGUAAGCGGUGAAUGCGCAGAUAUCGGGAGGAACACCGGUGCGAAGGCGGGUCUCUGGCCUG